CAAAAUUAAAAAAAAAAAAAAAAAAAAAAAAACUAUAGUAGAUCAUAUAUACUGAUG
rnacentral:ribozyme from 1 species